AUUGAACGCUGGCGGCAGGCCUAACACAUGCAAGUCGAGCGCGCGGCGGACGGGUGAGUAUUGUAUGUGGACUGCCCGCUAGCGGGGGAUAACUACUGGAAACGGUAGCUAAUACCGCAUCCUAUCGGAUAUCCCAUAUGGGAUUAGCUAGUAGGUGGGGUAAUGGCUCACCUAGGCGACGAUCCCUAGCUGGUCUGCGAGGAUGAUCAGCAACACUGGGACUGGGACACGGCCCGAACGCCUACGGAGGCAGCAGUGGGGAUGUUUGCAAAAUGGGGACAAGCCGGAUGCAACCAUGCCGCGGGUAUGAAGAAGGCCCUGGGGUUGAAAAGUACUUUCAGUCGGGAGGCGUUACCGACAGAAAAAGCACCGGCUAACUCCGUGCCAGCAGCCGCGGUAAUAC
rnacentral:rRNA from 1 species